GUGCUUGUUUUGGCAGCUCAUCUACUAAAAUUGGAAUGGUACAGGGAAGAUUAGCAUGGCACUGGUGCAAGGAUGACAUGCAAAUUUGUGAAGCAUAACAUAUUUUU